rnacentral:rRNA from 1 species
CCUACGGGAGGCAGCAGUAGGGAAACUUCCACAAUGGGCGAAAGCCUGAUGGAGCAACGCCGCGUGUGUGAUGAAGGGUUUCGGCUCGUAAAACACUGUUGUAAGGGAAGAAUGACAUUGAGAGUAACUGUUCAAUGUGUGACGGUAUCUUACCAGAAAGGAACGGCUAAAUACGUGCCAGCAGCCGCGGUAAU